UGCGUAGGGUGCGAGCGUUAAUCGGAAUUACUGGGCGUAAAGCGUGCGCAGGCGGUUUUGUAAGACAGGUGUGAAAUCCCCGGGCUUAACCUGGGAACUGCAUUUGUGACUGCAAGACUAGAGUGUGGCAGAGGGGGGCAGAAUUCCACGUGUAGCAGUGAAAUGCGUAGAGGUGUGGAGGAAUACCGAUGGCGAAGGCAGCCCCCUGGGAUAACACUGACGCUCAUGUACGAAAGCGUGGGUAGCAAACAGG
rnacentral:rRNA from 1 species